GAGGUUGUGGCUCAGUGAUAGAGCACUUGCCUAGCCUGUGUGAGGCACUGGGUUCGAUUCUCAGCACCACA
rnacentral:tRNA from 1 species